rnacentral:rRNA from 1 species
AUGAACGCUGGCGGCGUGCCUAAUACAUGCAAGUCGAGCGAACAGACGAGGAGCUUGCUCCUCUGACGUUAGCGGCGGACGGGUGAGUAACACGUGGAUAACCUACCUAUAAGACUGGGAUAACUUCGGGAAACCGGAGCUAAUACCGGAUAAUAUAUUGAACCGCAUGGUUCAAUAGUGAAAGACGGUUUUGCUGUCACUUAUAGAUGGAUCCGCGCCGCAUUAGCUAGUUGGUAAGGUAACGGCUUACCAAGGCAACGAUGCGUAGCCGACCUGAGAGGGUGAUCGGCCACACUGGAACUGAGACACGGUCCAGACUCCUACGGGAGGCAGCAGUAGGGAAUCUUCCGCAAUGGGCGAAAGCCUGACGGAGCAACGCCGCGUGAGUGAUGAAGGUCUUCGGAUCGUAAAACUCUGUUAUUAGGGAAGAACAAAUGUGUAAGUAACUAUGCACGUCUUGACGGUACCUAGUCAGAAAGCCACGGCUAACUACGUG